GGUGCUGUGGCUUAGUUGGUGAAAGCACCUGUCUCGUAAAGUCAGGAGAUCCUGGGUUCAAAUCCCAGCAGUUCCU